rnacentral:rRNA from 1 species
GACGAACGCUGGCGGCGUGCUUAACACAUGCAAGUCGAACGAUGAAGGAGAGCUUGCUCUCCGGAUUAGUGGCGAACGGGUGAGUAACACGUGACUAACCUGCCCCUUUCUCUGGGAUAACGCUCCGAAAGGAGUGCUAAUACCGGAUACGAACCCUGAACACAUGUUCGGAGUUGGAAAGUUUCUCGGAAAGGGAUGGAGUCGCGGCCUAUCAGCUUGUUGGUGAGGUAACGGCUCACCCAGGCGACGACGGGUAGCCGGCCUGAGAGGGCGACAGGUCACACUGGGACUGAGACACGGCCCGGCCUCAUACGGGAGGCAGCAGUGGGGAAUAUUGCACAAUGGGCGAAAGCGUGAUGCAGCGACGCCGCGUAAGGGAGGAAGGUCUUCGGAUUGUAAACCUCUUUCAGUAGGGACGAAGCGAAAGUGACGGUACCUAAAGAAGAAGCACCGGCUAACUACGUGGCAGCCGCCGCCGUAA